rnacentral:hammerhead_ribozyme from 1 species
CAGCGAAACCGCCCGCCCGAUCCAAGGGCGGCGCGGUCGUCCGGCGGUGGCGCGCCGGACCUGACGAGCAGCCAAGG